GGAGAGGUGGCAGAGUGGUCGAAUGCGCCGGACUCGAAAUCCGGUAUGCGGUUUACCGCAUCGAGGGUUCGAAUCCCUCCUUCUCCGCCA
rnacentral:tRNA from 1 species